CAUUCAGACCCUGUGAUCGGUUCCGCGCGAGCAGAGGCUCUGCGGUAGCAAUAGGGAAUACGGUGAGGUGUAGCCAACAGGCGCCAAUUCCGUGACUGCCCCCGCAACUGUAAGCGGUGAGCGACGCUGAACAUGCCACUGGGAAGCCGCCGAAAGGCGCCCCGGGAAGGCCAGUCAAGCUUUGACCCGCGAGUCAGGAGACCUGCCGGACACUGGGCCAGGGA
rnacentral:ncRNA from 2 species